GUUCUCUCGCUUGGGAAACUGGACUUUCAAGUCUGUGCAGGUAUAGGUGUAUGGACGACCUGGGGGAUACGGCAGAACUCGAGCUAUAGAAUGGCGAGUAACGCAGGGUUCCAGGAGGGACGAGCUUAGGCCGAUUGCCAACAGAACUGCCAGAGGCCUACGUUGAUAGGCUGUGACCUGCCAGAUAAGACCCGCCUUACCUGAAACUGCUCACCCCCUACCUUCGCAGAGUACGAGUAGCACGGAAGCUGCCGCCACGGAGCCAGCUGUUGCUCACCGCACACAAACCUCACCACUCUACACAGGACACUUGUACAGCACCGAAGUGAAAAGAGCACCUUGCUGUGCAUGACUGGACACAAACAUGCAGGAGUUAUAAUUUGUUUAUUAUUGUUUCUGGGACGGUGAUCCUUUUUUUGUGUGCUCCCUACCAUUGCUGUUAGUGGAGCAAAUUAUUAUUUAAGUGUGGGAAUGUAAACCUUUUUGUGUACACUCCCUACCAUUGCUGGUAGAGGAGUGUAUUAUUAUUUGUUAAUUGUUUUUGGGAGAAUAAAAAUACUUAAUAAUUGCAAGUGCUGGCUGGACAUUGAUUGCUUAACCCUCACGCACCACUCACAUCCUGACAUGUGGUGUCCUUGUGGGAUUAAAAUAUAGAAACCGGAGGAGCUGCGACUGGAAUACGUCAGCCUGAUGGACCGGAUGAGUGUCCUGCUACUGGCCGGACCCCGGAGAGAUGUGGUGGCGGAACUGGAAGUACACGCCGUGGCAGUUCUACUGAAGCCGUGGGUACCCAAGACAACGCCGGAGGAUGGCCUCAAGGCCUUUCUGGUCGCUUUUGAGUGGUGGUCCACGCAGCUGGGGCCCAAUUUGAUUGGGUACACCCAGGCGGCCUACUGGACCAUGACCCAUGAAGCAGCGUUGUACUACGACGCUGUAAAAACUGCCAUCCUCCAGUGCCUCAACAACACAGAGGAGGCGUACCGCCACCGGUUCCAGGAAUACCAGCGGCCAGUAGGAGUCAGAUCCCGCGUGGUGGCACAACAAUUGGCUCACCAGAUGAUUCAAUGGGCCCGGGCUGAUAUCCGCACAGCAGCAGAAGUAGCUGAGCUGUUUACCAUUGAGCAGUUGGCAGAGGUGUCUGAAGAUCCGAGGCUGGCGUAAUAAUCUCCUCCCGCUGUCCACUCGGCAGCGGGACUGUGGCGUCCUUCUACUCUGGUCUGCUACCGGUGCCAUGAGGCCGGUCACGUGAUGACCCAGUAGAGGAUUUUGGUCCGGUUGUCAAUUCACCAGCUGCAAUUAACAUUCCGAUGGGGGAACAGUUACUCCCUGAUCAAAAAUGUGUCAUGGUUCGAGAGAGACCGUAUCGGAUACUGGAGAGUUGCAGGGGUUAUGUCAGCAUGGAGGUGAGGGCGAUGCUCAAGCUGGGAGUCAUUCAGCCUUCCCGGAGCGAGUGGUGCGGUCUUAUUGUGAUGGUCCCCAAAAAGGAUAGCUACACUUGGUUCUGUGUGGAUUUCCGUAAGGUGAAUGCUAUCUCCGAGUUUGAUGUGUACCCUAAGCUCCAAAUAGAUGAGCUCCUCGAUCGACUGGGAGACGCACGGUUGAUUUCGACCUUGGAUCUGACGAAAGGGUAUUGGCAGAUUCCAUUAACCCAGGACUUGCAGGAGAAAACUGCUUUCUCUACCCCAGAUGGCCUGUUCCAUUUCCACACCAUGCCAUUUGGAUUGCAUGGCGCUCCGACCACCUUUUUUUUUUCCAGGGCUUCAUAAAAUAUUAGGCACAUUAGUUAACAUCAGCUACACAAAUUAGACACCAUCGUUCACAAGUCAGCAUCACAGGUUGUAAAGCACUGAAGGGCACCUAAGCAGAAUAAAACAAUGCAGUUAGUUACAUUGGUGAAUUGGAGAUGUGGUUGAGGACCCGGUCAACAAAAUGUAUUAAAAUCAAAAUAGAUCUGAGCUACAGCUAAACAAAGAACAAAAUCUAGCAAGUCCUUAAUCUCACCUCCAAUGGAGUUCAGGUAUCGAGCAUCUGGCACGUAUUCCAUUGGUUAAAUAAUCCCAUUCUCACAUAUAUCAAGAAAGGAACUGGAUUUUCAUUUCACAGGCUAAACUAUCACAUCAGAGCCAUUCUAGAUCUCCCAGUAUCCCUCUCACUAGAGUCAGAGCCGGUGCCGGUGUUAUGACAUAUCCUGCAUCCCCUGGGAUUUCUGCAUCCCCCCCGCCCUUUGGGUCUCUUCAGAACACCUCCUUGCUUUCUUUCACUUCACGUGCAUGAGCAGCUACGGAAGAGCCCUAGGGCCAUGCGAGAAAAUUCAACCUUUAAAAAAACGGAAUUUCACUAUUCUACAUACGACCUGAGUCUGGAACAAGCGGAACAGGCGGAACUCGGAACUCCUGUUGACAGCACUGCUGUCUGAGCCUCAAAUUCACUACCGUCGGGUUUUAAUAAAGUAAAAAAACCUGGCUUUUCCAGUAUACAUUCCUUUUCCCACAGUUUUUUUUUUUUUUUAUUAUUAUUUAGUCGUUGCCAAUUAUUUUUUAUUAUUUUCUCCCCAAUUUGGAAUGGCCAAUUAUUUUUAGGCUCAGCUCACCGCUACCACCCCUGCGCUGACUCGGGAGGGCGAAGACGAACACACGCUGUCCUCCGAAGCGUGUGCCGUCGGCCGACCGCUUUUUUUCACACUGCGAACUCACCAUGCAGCCACCCAAGAGCUACAGCAUUGGAGGACAACGCAGCUCUCGGGCAGCAUACAGGCAAGCCCGCAGGCGCCCGGCCAGACUACAGGGGUCGCUGGUGCCCGGUGAGCCGAGGACACUGUGGCUGACCUAACCCUCCUUCCCCCCGGGGCAAUAUAGAGUUUUUAAUUAAGGCUGUUACAUCAAUAAAAAGCAUCUUGCCCAACCAUAAUUGAUCAUCUUUAUACAGCAUAGAAAAAAUACAUACAUGUUUGGAGCAAUGCAAAUGAUUUAUAUCUAUUAAGUAUUGUAAUGGUCCAUACCCUCGAUGAUAAAUCAGAACACUGAGAGUGUUGCCAGGUACAAUUAAUAAGCAAUGUAUUAAUCGAAAUAACACGGUCCCUGUUUGGACCAAGACCACGCCACAAAACAAUAAUAAAAAGACCCUAACUCCUUCCUUCACCCACUGACCCCCACUUCCACUUCCGCAGCUCUCGCUGUCCCUCAGGCUCUCGCUCCAUGUCACUCCCAGGCUUCAGUCUCCCUCACUCUCUCGCAGGCCCACUCUCACUGCAAUUCAGCUCGGUUCAUUCAUCCGCUCAGCACUUGAAACUUCAACUCUCUCCCCCCACACUCCCGAGCAGGUGGUAUUUCUACCUCCCUGCUGCUCCCACCCACUCUACCCGGACCGACCAACCGGAUCCAUCCCUGGCUCCUCUCACUAUUCUAGGUGGCGUGGUGGCACCCUCACAAUACAUACAACACGUACACAGGAUAAGACAGACAAGACAAAAAACGAGACAACAUACAAGUCCAGCAGACACAGAACGGUGCUCGGGUCGCUACAGUAUUAUAAUGAUGUCACCAAGAUGUCUGUGUCAUUCAUGAUGAAGAACGUAUUUCAAAGGUAAUUUCAAUUUUUUUAUGUGUGCACACAUAUAUCUUUGAAAAAAUAAAGAAUGUUUUGCACCAAUGCGUUUUACACACCUGCCCUCACCCGCAGCUCUAUAUUAGUUCAUUAUGGCAAGCCUUUAAAGAACGCCUUGGAAAAUAUGAAAUUAUCUUGGGCCGAUGCGUUCUUCAAAUAGAAAUGACAGCUGUAAUGAACCAGUGACGUCAUUUCAAUAGUUAAUACAAGUAUGUAAAUCGCAUUGCCCCAAACCUUUAACUAUUUACCGUAAGAGAUACAAGUCUAUUACGAAACAUGUCGCUUUAGCCUCUAUUUGUUCAGAAAUGUUUUCCGAAACUUUGUGCUUACAUUUUUUCUUAAAUAAGUGAUUCACCAAAGUUUUUAUUUAAAAAAAAAACUGUCAGCCUUUUCUGUUGGAUUUUCUACCUGUUUUAUACACAUAUUAAGGGUGCUUUACAUUUGGACCACCUUAAAAGUAACCUAAUUUGAAUGUUGUGAUGUUUUUUCAGUAACAUGGCAUGAAAGAGCAGACUACAUGAAGCACACAGAUCUAGAAGGGGAGGGUGAAAGCCGCAACAAGACAAAAGUGCACGGACGGGGCACUAAAUUAAUGCAAAAUGUCUUGAAAAAUCUCUAGUGUACGGUGACAGAAAUACGAUGAUUCUUGGUUGUAAAUCUCCCUCCCGACCUGUGAGGGCGCUAAGCAGCGAGAACAGUUCCCUGGACAGGCUGACCUGACAGUUCUUUCCCAAGGUUCAAAGGAAGUCAGCCAGCUAGAAAGGGGGCGGGACUCAGUUGAAUUAACGCAUUGACCCGGAACGGAAAUACCGUGGCAGCCGCAGAUUGGCGAGGCGGUUGCACUCAUUUACCAAGGGGUCAUGUGGGACAGCAUAAAAGGGGACGGAGACUCAUAAUCUGUUCCUUUGCUUUGGUUUGUGUUUUGAACCUGGAUGGACUGUGAGAGACCUAGUGUGAUAACAGUAUCAUCAGUGUUUUGUUUGUUUGUUUGUAAUUUGUCUUGUUUGUCAAUUACUAGACGGCUAACACGUCGCCAAGGGCCAGCACAAAGCCGGAACAACACUGCACUACUGUCACAGAAUAAACUGUAUCACCCACCAUGAGCACUACUGCAUGCACCCAGGACUGGUGACUGUGUUAGUAUUAUUGUGGGGCGAAUAUAAUGUGUUUAUUGUUUGGGACUGCAACCUGUUGUUAUUUACUCCAUGCAGUACACAUUGUUGUGUAUUGCCGGGGUCCUAUUAUUUGGUCACCAGACCUGGAUAUCAUAAAGCCCCUUUUUCCAACCGGAUGAAAUCCCUCUGUCUGUUUGUUUCACCCACUGCAUCACUCCUGCACCUGUAUCCACUCAACCACUUGUUCCCAUGUACACAAUAAAAAUAAUAAUUAUUAUGAGUUGUCAUACUUUAAGUGUGUGGUAUAGAAGACAUUGUUCACUGAUUUAAUGUCCUCAUGGGGCAGGAUUGUCUUUGUCCGUGAGCAUUUUGAUUGAUUAAAAGAUAUGCAAAUGAUUAUUCUUUUUAAUAUUUAUAGUGAUGGAGUAAUUGUGUGGUAUAGUUUUAAAGACACUUUGCAGUAUUUUAGUGACCAGUUCGGGCAGUGUUGUCCAGAUUGAAAAAUGA